GCUUGCACCUUUCAAGCGAGUGGCGAACGGGUGAGUAACACGUGGAUAACCUGCCUCAAGGCUGGGGAUAACAUUUGGAAACAGAUGCUAAUACCGAAUAAAACUUAGUAUCGCAUGAUAUCAAGUUAAAAGGCGCUACGGCGUCACCUAGAGAUGGAUCCGCGGUGCAUUAGUUAGUUGGUGGGGUAAAGGCUUACCAAGACGAUGAUGCAUAGCCGAGUUGAGAGACUGAUCGGCCACAUUGGGACUGAGACACGGCCCAAACUCCUACGGGAGGCUGCAGUAGGGAAUCUUCCACAAUGGGCGCAAGCCUGAUGGAGCAACGCCGCGUGUGUGAUGAAGGCUUUCGGGUCGUAAAGCACUGUUGUAUGGGAAGAAAUGCUAAAAUAGGGAAUGAUUUUAGUUUGACGGUACCAUACCAGAAAGGGACGGCUAAAUACGUGCCAGCAGCCGCGGUAAUACGUAUGUCCCGAGCGUUAUCCGGAUUUAUUGGGCGUAAAGCGAGCGCAGACGGUUGAUUAAGUCUGAUGUGAAAGCCCGGAGCUCAACUCCGGAAUGGCAUUGGAAACUGGUUAACUUGAGUGUUGUAGAGGUAAGUGGAACUCCAUGGGUAAC
rnacentral:rRNA from 1 species